UACGGGAGGCAGCAGUGGGGAAUCUUGCGCAAUGGGCGAAAGCCUGACGCAGCCAUGCCGCGUGAAUGAUGAAGGUCUUAGGAUUGUAAAAUUCUUUCACCGGGGACGAUAAUGACGGUACCCGGAGAAGAAGCCCCGGCUAACUUCGUGCCAGCAGCCGCGGUAAUACGAAGGGGGCUAGCGUUGCUCGGAAUUACUGGGCGUAAAGGGCGCGUAGGCGGAUCGUUAAGUCAGAGGUGAAAUCCCAGGGCUCAACCCUGGAACUGCCUUUGAUACUGGCGAUCUUGAGUAUGAGAGAGGUAUGUGGAACUCCGAGUGUAGAGGUGAAAUUCGUAGAUAUUCGGAAGAACACCAGUGGCGAAGGCGACAUACUGGCUCAUUACUGACGCUGAGGCGCGAAAGCGUGGGGAGCAAACAG
rnacentral:rRNA from 1 species